rfam:Triticum aestivum genome assembly, contig: Triticum_aestivum_CS42_TGACv1_scaffold_320277_4BL
GUCGUACUUCCUCCGUCUGAAAAUACUUGUCAUCAAAAUAGAUAAAAAGAGAUGUAUCUAUAACUAAAAUAUGUCUAGAUACAUCCUCUUUUAUCCAUUUUGAUGACAAGUAUUUCCGGACGGAGGGAGUAACUU